AUUAUGGCUCAGGAAUGAACGCUGGCGGCGUGCCUAAUACAUGCAAGUCGAACGAAUCUUCUUCGGAAGAUGAGUGGCGAACGGGUGAGUAAUACAUAGGUAACCUGCCCCUGUGCGGGGGAUAACAGGAGGAAACUCCUGCUAAUACCGCAUAGCCAUGAGCAUCGCAUGGAGCUCAUGCCAAAUAUCCUUCAGGGGAUAGCGCAGGGAUGGACCUAUGGCGCAUUAGCUAGUUGGCGGGGCAACGGCCCACCAAGGCAACGAUGCGUAGCCGGCCUGAGAGGGCGGACGGCCACAUUGGGACUGAGACACGGCCCAGACUCCUACGGGAGGCAGCAGUAGGGAAUUUUCGGCAAUGGGGGAAACCCUGACCGAGCAACGCCGCGUGAGCGAAGAAGGCCUUCGGGUCGUAAAGCUCUGUUGUAAAGGAAGAACGUCGCAUGCAGGAAAUGGUGUGCGAGUGACGGUACUUUACCAGAAAGCCACGGCUAACUACGUGCCAGCAGCCGCGGUAAUACGUAGGUGGCGAGCGUUAUCCGGAAUCAUUGGGCGUAAAGAGGGAGCAGGCGGCCGCAAGGGUCUGUGGUGAAAGACCGAAGCUAAACUUCGGUAAGCCAUGGAAACCGGGCGGCUAGAGUGCGGAAGAGGAUCGUGGAAUUCCAUGUGUAGCGGUGAAAUGCGUAGAUAUAUGGAGGAACACCAGUGGCGAAGGCGACGGUCUGGGCCGCAACUGACGCUCAUUCCCGAAAGCGUGGGGAGCAAAUAGGAUUAGAUACCCUAGUAGUCCACGCCGUAAACGAUGGUCACUAAGUGUCGGGGGUCAAACCCCGGUGCCGCAGUCAACGCAAUAAGUGACCCGCCUGAGUGGUACGUUCGCAAGAAUGCAACUCAAAUGAAUUGACGGA
rnacentral:rRNA from 2 species